CAAUUAAGGUGGUCUUAAUGAUAUGACAAGCAGCAUUUGUGAAUAUUUACUCUGAAUGUAACAAGAUGAAUGACGUGCACCUCCUCUGUUUCAGUAUCAUCAAUCUCUCCAUUAGUCAUGGUCUUGAUAACUCCUAUUAUCUGUACCUUUGUUGGAUGAAUGAACGAAGGCACUGGGCUUUAUUACACAACAGACUCAUGGACUGAUAUGUCAGUGGGUGUUCUGACUGAUGUAUCCAUGUAUACUAUUUGCCUCCUCACAAGUUUGACUCUCUGCUGCUUUCAAGGGCUUAUAGCAUGUAAUCCUGACGGAGAACCCACAUUCAAAUUGUGAACAACAAUUGAAUAGAAGAGAUAGGAAUAUCGCUGUCAAACGCUUACCUAAUUAUUUUUCUAGAAGAGUUACAAAGAAAUACAAAGUCUGCACAAUUAUAAGCCUGGCCCUAUACCCCACAAAAUGGUACAGAAGAGAGAGAAGAGCAAUUUACAUAGGAUUCAAAGAGCUGUAUCAUUCUUGAAGUUACACCUCUGAACUAUAUCUGAUUUUCACAUAUUUGGGCUUUUUAAAGACAGUAUAAUGGUUUUCAAAUGCUUGGUUAAGAGAAGCAUCAAAAAGAGCAUGAAAAACUAAGGUGGGAAAUUCUACCACAAAAUUUACUUUAAUUUACUUCCUUUCUAAUAUUCAUCCCAAUGAUUUAAUCCCUUAGCUCUAAGGAAAUGCAACUUAGCAAACUAAAGCAAAUUUAUCACUUCUGAAAACUGCUAGAAAACCCCCAAGACAGAACGAUUACCCCCACAACAAGAAUGGCCAAAUCUGGAAAAUCCGCCACGUCCUUUGUUAUUAGAGAAUAAGGAAAAUCUCCAGGUACAAGCAUGAGAAACACUAGUAUCUGAAGUAUUGACAGAGAAAGAGAAUCUCAAUGGUUUAUCUACUUAAUGGUUUUACAGACACUGAUCCAGAAGGGCUG
rnacentral:lncRNA from 1 species